GAUGAACGCUGGCGGCGUGCCUAAUACAUGCCAGUCGAGCGAACGGACGAGAAGCUUGCUUCUCUGAUGUUAGCGGCGGACGGGUGAGUAACACGUGGAUAACCUACCUAUAAGACUGGGAUAACUUCGGGAAACCGGAGCUAAUACCGGAUAAUAUUUUGAACCGCAUGGUUCAAAAGUGAAAGACGGUCUUGCUGUCACUUAUAGAUGGAUCCGCGCUGCAUUAGCUAGUUGGUAAGGUAACGGCUUACCAAGGCAACGAUGCAUAGCCGACCUGAGAGGGUGAUCGGCCACACUGGAACUGAGACACGGGCCAGGCUCCUACGGGAGGCAGCAGUAGGGAAUCUUCCGCAAUGGGCGAAAGCCUGACGGAGCAACGCCGCGUGAGUGAUGAAGGUCUUCGGAUCGUAAAACUCUGUUAUUAGGGAAGAACAUAUGUGUAAGUAACUGUGCACAUCUUGACGGUACCUAAUCAGAAAGCCACGGCUAACUACGU
rnacentral:rRNA from 1 species